UGAACAGCAGGUACCCGAAGGUCAUCCUCCGACGCAUUGAUGAUCACCCACCCAACAAAGUCGCUGGAAAGAUCCAAGCUCAGAGGAAAAUGAGAAAAACGACAUGCGCAUUUUUUACAAGACAUACUACUCAGGUUUCCAGUGGGUAAACAAUCCAACUCAGAGUUAGCAGCACGGUAAAUAAUACCCACACGAAGCAUGCCGAUCGAGGAAAUACAUCCAGAUUAACGAGAGACAACGCUCGGUGUGAAUGAUUGAAUUGUAACGUCAUAUGCGAUGAU